CCUAUGGGUGGCAGCAGUGGGGAAUAUUGGGCCAUGGGCGCCAGCCUGACCCCGCCACGCCGCGUGAAGGAAGAAGGCUUUCGGGUUGUAACCUUCUUUUCUCAGGGACGAAGCAAAUGACGGUACCUGAGGAAUAAGCCACGGCUAACUACGUGCCAGCAGACGCGGUAAUACGUAGGUGGCAAGCGUUAUCCGGAUUUACUGGGUGUAAAGGGCGUGUAGGCGGGAAAGCAGGUCAGAUGUGAAAACCAUGGGCUCAACCUGUGGCCUGCAUGUGAAACUGUUUUUCUUGAGUACUGGAGAGGCAGACGGAAGUCCUAGGGUAGGAGUGAAAUCCGUAGAUAUCUGGAGGAACAUCAGUGGCGAAGGCGACGAUCUGGCACAUAACUGACGCUGAGGAGCGAAAGCGUGGGUAGCAAACAGGAGUAGAUACCCCUGUAGUC
rnacentral:rRNA from 1 species